rnacentral:rRNA from 1 species
UGGCGACCGGCGCACGGGUGAGUAACGCGUAUGCAACUUGCCUAUCAGAGGGGGAUAACCCGGCGAAAGUCGGACUAAUACCGCAUGAAGCAGGGAUCCCGCAUGGGGAUAUUUGCUAAAGAUUCAUCGCUGAUAGAUAGGCAUGCGUUCCAUUAGGCAGUUGGCGGGGUAACGGCCCACCAAACCGACGAUGGAUAGGGGUUCUGAGAGGAAGGUCCCCCACAUUGGUACUGAGACACGGACCAAACUCCUACGGGAGGCAGCAGUGAGGAAUAUUGGUCAAUGGCCGAGAGGCUGAACCAGCCAAGUCGCGUGAGGGAUGAAGGUUCUAUGGAUCGUAAACCUCUUUUAUAAGGGAAUAAAGUGCGGGACGUGUCCCGUUUUGUAUGUACCUUAUGAAUAAGGAUCGGCUAACUCCGUGCCAGCAGCCGCGGUAAUACGGAGGAUCCGAGCGUUAUCCGGAUUUAUUGGGUUUAAAGGGUGCGUAGGCGGCCUUUUAAGUCAGCGGUGAAAGUCUGUGGCUCAACCAUAGAAUUGCCGUUGAAACUGGGGGGCUUGAGUAUGUUUGAGGCAGGCGGAAUGCGUGGUGUAGCGGUGAAAUGCAUAGAUAUCACGCAGAACCCCGAUUGCGAAGGCAGCCUGCCAGGCCAUUACUGACGCUGAUGCAC